GACGAACGCUGGCGGCGUGCCUAACACAUGCAAGUCGAACGAGGUCCAAGGGAGCUUGCUCCCUGACGACCUAGUGGCGAACGGGUGAGUAACACGUGAGAAACCUGCCUCGGAGUGGGGAAUAACUCGGGGAAACUCGAGCUAAUACCGCAUACCUUCACAUGAUCGCAUGGUCGAGUGAAGAAAGAAUUUCGCUCUGAGAGGGUCUCGCGGCCUAUCAGCUUGUUGGGGGGGUAACGGCCUACCAAGGCAACGACGGGUAGCUGGUUUGAGAGAACGAUCAGCCACACUGGGACUGAGACACGGCCCAGACUCCUACGGGAGGUAGCAGUGGGGAAUAUUGGACAAUGGGCGGAAGCCUGAUCCAGCCAUGCCGCGUGUGUGAAGAAGGCCUUUUGGUUGUAAAGCACUUUAAGCGAGGAGGAGGCUCUUAAGGUUAAUACCCUUGAUGAGUGGACGUUACUCGCAGAAUAAGCACCGGCUAACUCUGUGCCAGCCGCCGCCGUAAAAC
rnacentral:rRNA from 1 species